CAGUGCAUGGCUGAUAUUCCUAGGAACAGCUUCACACAGGGAAGAGCAGAAGUGCUAAGCAGUGUCUGAUAUCUGGUCCACCAGGGUCCUGUUUAGCAUUGCUAGCAUAGAACAGGGUGAAUGCCUUUUUGUAGUUAUGCUAGUUGUAUGCAAAUCACAUCACUAGAAAAACAGUUCUAUAAGAAAUACAGAACAGCCUGGAACCAAGUUGCUAUUGAACAAAGGGAAGUGCUGAACAUGCCCGGUUUCCAUGGUCACCUUGUUGUUUCACAGCAAUGCCUCCAAUGCCGCACCCUUUGAGAUACUCAUAGUUUACGGUAGAGGAUUCACAUAAACAAGAAUAGAAUCACAGAGAAGAAGAAAUUAUGGGGAAACAACACACCCAGUCUGCUCCUCCUGCCCCAACCACACCUGGUUUCACUUUGUCUGAAAGCAGCUGAUGACAAUGAUGACAAUGAUGACAAUGAUGACAGAUACCGACAGAUACCUACAGGCAAUCCCAGAGAUGGUAUAUAAGUGCCUCUGGCUCAGAGAUUAUCAGAUCGCAGGUCCUUGCUUCUCCUUCUCAUUGAUCCAAGUUCAUCUCCCUGCCCAAAGGAUGUCCUUCUCCAGCCAGCAGCUCAGCUCCCGCUGCUCUGCAUCCUGCGAGCCAGUCUGUGCACAGCCCAUCGCUGACGCCUGGAACCAGCCCUGCGUCACCUCCUGCGGGGACUCCCGUGCUGUGGUCUACCCACCACCUGUGACCAUCGUCUUCCCAGGCCCCAUUCUCAGCUCUUGUCCUCAGGAGAGCUUUGUGGGCACCUCAGCCCCACUGGGGCUGGGCUGCCCAAGGGGCCUGCAGGGCUCCCUUGUCUAUGGGGACUCCUUCUCCUCAUUCAGCCAGCGCUACGGGGGCCGUGGGCCAUGUUAAACAUGGCAGAAUGUGUGCACAGCAGAAGAAACAACAGGGCAACUGGAUGUGCAGCUGAACUGAGGAAUACAGCUCCGUGAAGCAGUAGGAACCUAUGGGUGCUAUUUGGCACCCAUGGGAACUGCUCUUCUGCUUGUCCUUCUACUGCUCCAUUUACUUUUAAUGUCAGUUUCCUCAAAAUGUGUCCUUUUCCUUCUUAGAAACCAAAUUAUAGACUAUGCAAAAUCUGUUUCUCACUGUCAGAGCACUAAAGCACAAGUACCACUAGAAACUGGUCUAUGUAUGUUUCGAAUUUUUGGGACCGUGUCUUUUUUUCUUUGGUAGUUUUUUGUUUUGAUACCCACAUGUUUAAUGCUAAAGAUCCGUAGUUGUCACCACACACUAUGAUUCGUCCAGUCCAUUUGAAACUUGAACCAAGAAGAAAGAACAAUGUGCUGAAAACAGGUUGCUGCAGAUUUUUAAGUUAAGCUUUUUUUCAAAUACUGAAGUCCAUCUUGCAUUUUUCCUUUGCUUAAAAUGUACAUUUUUACUCCCAAUAAACACUUACGAUUGCAUCCAA